CUCCAAGUUACUUGUUCCCUACUCCAAGUUAUUAGACUUUGUCUCCAAGUUAUGUAAUCCUAUAUAAGGAACUCAUUACUCAUGGAAUAAUAACAAUUCAUUCCUCUCUAAGUCAUACGACUCUCUCUCUCUCUUUCUAGUUCGAUCUAUUCUAAGACAAGAACACUAGGAUUAGAACACGUUAUCAGCACGAGACUCUAAACCCUAGCUAAAAUCCAGCGACCACAAAAACCCUAAUUUCAGCCGCAACUUCAAACCGCCAUAUCUCCCUAACCGUAAGGAUCCAGACGGCGAGUAAUAUAUCAAAUUGAAGCUCUUGACGAGACGAAUCCAGCGCCGCAGACCACGCAUCAAUCCGACUCCAGACGCGCCGUCACCGCCCAGUGCAAGCCGCGCCGUCAAAGAUCAUCCAAAACCCUAAUAGCCGCCAACUCCUUAUCUCUCUUAAUUUCGAUAUCUAUUCUUCUUAGAUCUCAUACUAAUCCAACUUUGAAACUUUCAUUGUUGAUUAUUCAAGGUUUCUAAAAGAGGAACCAAGGAGAAAAGAUCGGCAAAGAUUAAGAUGUUGAGAUUCCAACCCAUGGACUAUGAUACCCUAGAUAUCUCUGGAGAGAACUAUCUAAGAUAGGCAAUAAAUAUCUCGGUUAUACUAACGAUAGAAGGUCUUAGUGAAUGUAUCAUCAAAGAUGAUCAUGGAACCGAGAAUGAGAAAUAUAAGGCAUUAACAGUAAUGCGCCAUCAUCUCAAUGUGGAACUGAGAAAUCAGUACCAAGAUAUACAAAGCCUUCGAUGCCUUUGGAAAGAGUUAAAGUCCAGAUACACUAAGGUGAUAUGACCAAAGGCAAGGCAUGAGUGGAUGAGCCUCAGUUUCCGGGACUUUGGGUCCGUGGAAAAAUACAAUUAUGCUCUAUCUAAAGUAGCUCAUACACUGAUGUUUUAUGGUGAAAAGUUGACAGAGGAGAAAUUACUUGAAAAAGUUUUCUCCACAGCAGAUCCAAAAGAUCUAUUCCUACAACUAACCUAUCGAGAUAAAGGUUUCACCACAUACAACGAUCUGUUCUUAUACUUAUCUCAAAAUGAACAGAUGAAUUAGAUGAAAGAUGAUAUGAGCGGCUAUGAGGCAGAUAGUGAUGAUGAAGAAUCCAUGGGAGCCACGUCCAAAGUAACAGAUGGAGUGGCCGGCUAGACCAUUGUCUAAAGCCUUUAAACAUUCUGACUUCAUACUUAUGAUUUGGUGUUUUGUCAUUCAAAAUUUCAUAGCAUUAAUAAAAGUUUUUCUUUUAUCUUCA